UAGGCUUGAAAUCCUACGAAUUUGGAGUAAUUUCCGAAGUGCCCUUUGGGGAAUGUAGUGACAGGUGCUGCAUGGCUGUCGUCAGCUCGUGUCGUGAGAUGUUGGGUUAAGUCUCGCAACGAGCGCAACCACUAUUUUUAGUUGCCAGCAUUAAGUUGGGCACUCUAAAGAGACUGCCUGGGUUAACCAGGAGGAAGGUGGGGAUGACGUCAAGUCCUCAUGGCCCUUAUGCCUAGGGCUACACACGUAAUACAAUGGUGCAUACAAUGGGACGCGAACUCGCGAGGGGGAGCAAAUCUCAAAAAGUGCAUCUCAGUCCGGAUUGGAGUCUGCAACUCGACUCCAUGAAGUUGGAAUCGCUAGUAAUCGUGGAUCAGCACGCCACGGUGAAUACGUUCCCGGGCCU
rnacentral:rRNA from 1 species